rnacentral:lncRNA from 1 species
GACCAAUAUAGUUCGAAACCCUAUGAGGACAUCUUUGACCACCAAAUGUAAUAUAGUGCUUUUGAGUUUGGUAAAAAAAACCAAUUUCCAUACAAUCCCUAAUUUCUUUCCCAACAAACAAAAUAUCAUAAUGCACUUUCAUCAAUUUGUAGUAUAAACAUUAAAACAAAAACAAAAAAAUACUGUUGAACGGACGAAAUUUAUUUGUAGAGCAGAAAUUUUGUCAUUAGACCAAAAUAAAGAUGGCAUUUUAGUCAAGUUUUGAUAGUAAUCUUGUCAGGUUAAAAAGACACACAUCUCUUUGAAGUAUAAACUUACCUUUACUUACUGGUUGAAAAGACCAUGUUCAAAUGCCA